GCCCGCCGCGUCACGUGACGCGCCCUGCCAACAGGUCGCCCGAGGCAGGGCCCCGCGUGUCGUAGGGGGGCGGGGGGGAGGGGCGGCCCGCUGCGCCCCUCUUUCACCCCGGAGGCGAGGACGCCCGCCCUCGUGUCAGAGGCUGACGCCGUGGGCUUGACAAAGAGAUGAAUAAGACUUCAGAGAAUUAUGAAGUUGAAACCACAACGUGGAAGACACCUGGGGUUGACAAACGAGUCAUUGGAGACGCGCUUCCUAGGAGAGCUGUGUGACCAGGAACACCUAGAGUAGUGUAUUUGCUUUGUUAAAGAGUGACUUGUAUGAGAGAGAAAUCUAUUUUCCAUAAAAAUAAAAAAAGAAUGACUGAAAUCUUUCAAACCGCUAUCUAAAAUGUCUGACGCUCGGCUCUGUAAUCUAGCUUGAGCUCCAAAGCUUCUGCUGGUCUUGCUGCAUUGUAGUUUGGUUAUUCGGAUCCCUUGUGCUUUAUAUGAUUUUUAGGGUUUUUCUUUUUCUUCUUCCUGUGAAUAAUGCAGUGAAUUAUGGUGGAGAUUUCAUUGAAUCGCUUUUACAGUAUUAAUUCUGCCAAUUCAGAACGUGGGAGUUUUUUAUCUAUCUUCUAGUGUCUUCAGUUUUUUUUCUUCAUUGCUUUAAAGGUUUUUAUUAUAGAGGUCUUCCUUGGUUAUGCUUUUUCCUAGUUGUGAUACUUAAUCUUGACUGUCAACUUGACAAGAUUUAAAAUCACCAUGGAAAUAAUUCUCUGAUCACGUCUGUGAAGAGUUUCUAGGAUUGGUUAAUUGAAGUGGGGAAGACUAUUCUAAAUGUGAGCCAGGUUCCAUGGUCUGGGGUCUGUCUCUGCCUGAAUAAAACAGAAAGGGGGCAUGGCAACAGCGUUCAUGGCUCUGCUUCCUGACUGUGGAUACAAUGUGACCAGCUGCCUCUAGUUCCUGUCGCCAUCAUGUUCCUGCAGUGAUAGACUCAGUGGCAGAUGAAACUAUAGCCCAAAUAAAGCCCUCCUGCUUUAAGGUCU
rnacentral:lncRNA from 1 species